GUUGUGAUUGAACCAAGACAUAGCCCAUAGGGAAUGCUGUAAUAAAUGAAAAAAUGUUAUGAUUCUCUGCUUGAUUGUAAGCAGCAAAGCGAGGAUUCUGAUGCAAAUUUUCAGAUUUCUUCUGUAAUAUCGGUUUCAUGCCUACUGUUAUUUACUUAGAUAUUAUAAUGUAGUUAUGAUUACAUUACUAUUCUGAUUGAUUCUGAUAAAUUCCAUCACUGCAUCCCAUUUCUUUUCUCAUUAUCUUCUUUGUUACAUUUUGUUUUGUAGCAUUUGAAACACAGUCUUAAUGUUUAUGAAAACUGUAUAUCUUCAUCUUGUCUUUGAUAGAACAAUGCCAUAAGUGAUUACUCUUUUUCUGAGCUGGUCAUUUUUACUGUCAAACAAUAUUUUUGUGCAUGUUUUCAAUUUUUUGCCAAAAGUGAAACUGGUAAACAUCCUUAUUUUCUCAACUAGAGAGACUCU
rnacentral:misc_RNA from 1 species